rnacentral:rRNA from 1 species
CCUACGGGAGGCAGCAGUGGGGAAUAUUGGACAAUGGGCGAAAGCCUGAUCCAGCAAUGCCGCGUGAGUGAUGAAGGCCUUCGGGUCGUAAAGCUCUUUUACCAGGGAUGAUAAUGACAGUACCUGGAGAAUAAGCUCCGGCUAACUCCGUGCCAGCAGCCGCGGUAAUACGGAGGGAGCUAGCGUUGUUCGGAAUUACUGGGCGUAAAGAGUACGUAGGCGGUUAUUCAAGUCAGAGGUGAAAGCCCGGGGCUCAACCCCGGAACUGCCUUUGAAACUAGAUAACUAGAGUCUUGGAGAGGUUAGUGGAAUUCCGAGUGUAGAGGUGAAAUUCGUAGAUAUUCGGAAGAACACCAGUGGCGAAGGCGACUAACUGGACAAGUACUGACGCUGAGGUACGAAAGCGUGGGGAGCAAACAGGAUUAGAUACCCUGGUAGUCCACGCCGUAAACCGAUGAUAACUAGUUGUUCGGUCACUUGGUGACUGAGUGACGCAGCUAACGCAUUAAGUUAUCCGCCUGGGGAUACGGUCGCAAGAUUAAAACUCAAAGGAAUUGACGG